GGUUGACCUCGGAUCAGGUAGGGAU
rnacentral:rRNA from 6 species